GGGAGACGGGCGGAGGGGAGGAAAGUCCGGGCUCCAUAGGGCAAGGUGCCAGGUAACGCCUGGGGGGUGUCACAGCCCACGACCAGUGCAACAGAGAGCAAACCGCCGAUGGCCCGCGCAAGCGGGAUCAGGUAAGGGUGAAAGGGUGCGGUAAGAGCGCACCGCGCGGCUGGUAACAGUCCGCGGCACGGUAAACUCCACCCGGAGCAAGGCCAAAUAGGGGUUCAUAAGGUACGGCCCGUACUGAACCCGGGUAGGCUGCUUGAGCCAGUGAGCG
rnacentral:RNase_P_RNA from 1 species